CCAAGAUCUUCAGAGUGAACAAUCAUGGAGAUGGAUGAAAUGAACAAUAACCCAGUGAGCUCCAUGAGUCGUCUGGAGAGGAGCAGUCACACCCCCUUCGUAGAUGACGAUGCACUUUGAGGAGGCUACCAGUCAGAAGAUGAAGAAGAUGUGGUGUUGCCCAGGGAGGAGAUAUGGCUGUUUGAUUUGUACAGUGGCACAUGGCAGCAGAGGGAGCUGACAGGGGACUUUCCAUCUGAUCUGACUGGAUGUUUACUAUGGAGCUAAAAAACAACAUGUGUGGAAAAGGCUCACAAACACUUUUGGAAACACCCCUCUCCUCGAAAGAAUCACUCAAGCUGGGUGUAUCAGGAUAG